rnacentral:rRNA from 1 species
AGCGAACGCUGGCGGCAGGCCUAACACAUGCAAGUCGAACGAACCUUUCGGGGUUAGUGGCGGACGGGUGAGUAACACGUGGGAACGUGCCUUUAGGUUCGGAAUAACUCAGGGAAACUUGUGCUAAUACCGAAUGUGCCCUUCGGGGGAAAGAUUUAUCGCCUUUAGAGCGGCCCGCGUCUGUUUAGCUAGUUGGUUGAGGUAAUGGCGCACCAAGGCGACGAUCAGUAGAUGGUCUGAGAGGAUGAUCAGCCACAUUGGGACUGAGACACGGCCCAAACUCCUACGGGAGGCAGCAGUGGGGAAUCUUGCGCAACGGGCGAAAGGCUGACGCAGCCAUGCCGCGUGAAUGAUGAAGGUCUUAGGAUUGUAAAAUUCUUUCACCGGGGACGAUAAUGACGGUACCCGGAGAAGAAGCCCCGGCUAACUUCGUG